rnacentral:rRNA from 1 species
GACGAACGCUGGCGGCGUGCUUAACACAUGCAAGUCGAACGGAAAGGCCUGCUUUCCCUUGUGGAUUGCGGGUACUCGAGUGGCGAACGGGUGAGUAACACGUGAGUGAUCUGCCCCCAACUUGGGUAUAAGCCUGGGAAACUGGGUCUAAUUCCCGAUAGGACUUCAGGGUGGUGCCUGUUGUGGAAAACGAUUUUCUAGUGGUUGGGGAUGAGCUCGCGGCCUAUCAGCUUGUUGGUGGGGUAAUGGCCUACCAAGGCGGCGACGGGUAGCCGGCCUGAGAGGGUGGACGGGCACAUUGGGACUGAGAUACGGCACAGAGUCCGACGGGAGGCAGCAGGGGGGAAGAUUGGACAAUGGGCGGAAGCCUGAUGCAGCGACGCAGGGUGGGGGAUGACGGCCUUCGGGUUGUAAACUCCUUUCGACCGCGAGGAAGCCACCUGGUUGGAAGGGUGGUGACGGUAGUGGUAGAAGAAGCACCGGCUAACUACGUG